UACGGAAGGUGCAAGCAUUAAUCGGAAUUAUUGGGCGUAAAGGGCGCGUAGGCGGCUAGGCAAGUCUGAUGUGAAAUUCCAAAGCUCAACUUUGGAGCUGCAUUAGAAACUGCUUGGCUAGAGGGAUGGCGGAGAAAAUGGAAUUCCACGUGUAGCGGUGAAAUGCGCAGAUAUGUGGAAGAACACCGGUGGCGAAAGCGGUUUUCUAGCUUUUACCUGACGCUGAGGCGCGAGAGCAAGGGGAGCAAACAGG
rnacentral:rRNA from 1 species